rnacentral:tRNA from 1 species
AGGGCCGUAGCUCAGCUGGCAGAGCGCGCGCGUCACAUGCGCGAGGCCACCGGUUCAAGUCCGGUCGGCCCUA